UGUCCCUGUGGGUGCUCCACUCUAGGAGUCGGUGCCUCCUGGCGCCAUUGAUCAGAGAUUUUCGGUAGCAGUGCCUGGUCAGGACGCAGGCGCUCAGUUGGUAUCUCCCAUCUCCUGCUCUGUUUUAC